GACGAACGCUGGCGGCGUGCUUAACACAUGCAAGUCGAACGGAAAGGCCCUGCUUUUGUGGGGUGCUCGAAUGGCGAACGGGUGAGUAACACGUGAGUAACCUGCCCUUGACUUUGGGAUAACUUCAUGAAACUGGGGCUAAUACCGGAUAGGAGCUCCUGCUGCAUGGUGGGGGUUGGAAAGUUUCGGCGGUUGGGGAUGGACUCGCGGCUUAUCAGCUUGUUGGUGGGGUAGUGGCUUACCAAGGCUUUGACGGGUAGCCGGCCUGAGAGGGUGACCGGCCACAUUGGGACUGAGAUACGGCCCAGACUCCUACGGGAGGCAGCAGUGGGGAAUAGUGCACAAUGGGCGGAAGCCUGAUGCAGCAACGCCGCGUGCGGGAUGACGGCCUUCGGGUUGUAAACCGCUUUCGCCUGUGACGAAGCGUGAGUGACGGUAAUGGGUAAAGAAGCACCGGCUAACUACGUG
rnacentral:rRNA from 1 species